CGUUUUUUCUUUUCGUAUCUUCAUUCAGAAAAGGAGAAGAAGAACUUCUUCAUCUUGAUUCAGAAAUUGGGGACUUCCAUGAAAGCAUCUCCUUCGUUCUCCUCGAUUAACUAUGAAAUUGAGAAAGAAAAUCUAUGAAAACAUCCCUCUUCUUCGUUCUCCUCGAUUAACUUAACGUACAACAAAAAUACCGCAACACGAAGAUUUUGGUGGUAGCAGAUGAACUAGAAAAAAUGAAGAAACUUCCCAAUAGUUACGUGAUUUAUAUUCAACCGGAACUUUGGGGUUUCUAAAGAUCAUACCUUCCGUGACAAAGCCGAAUAGGUAAGCUCGAUCAUUCAUUUUCGCUAAAACAUACCUGAUUUUCCAUUUCAUGUUAAGAUUUACAUGAUUUUUCAUUUUUUCAUGCAUGUUUGCUAUUUGUUCCAGUUAGAGCUUCAACUGUUCGACAAAAUACCCCAAUGAAAAAAAUUCCUACUUUUAAAGUAUUUGGGACAUUUAGGUUCUGUGGUUCUCUCAUUUUGUCCACACCAAGUGUCCUUAUUUGUACUUAUUUAUAUCUUUAUUUAUAAUUGUAGUUGGUACUGGUAACAUAUUGGUUAUUUCCUAUUAGCCUCUCAAUUUCUUAUUAAAUUUUAUUGAAUUCAAGUGAACCUUCAUAGAUUAAACUAUAAUUCACACCAUUUCAACGUUUUCGAUAUGUGUAGUGUUUUGAUGAUCCCGGGGAUCAGAAAUGUGGGAUGACAGCUUGAUUAUUUUGAUAAUUCAUAUGUUUCUAUUAGUUGAUUUGUGUUUUCAAGGCAGACCUAUCGAUGGAGGGUAACCUCCCUGAUCUCUGUCGAAGUCCUAGACUAAUCGAGCCAGAGCGCCUUUCAGAAUUCAAUGCAACAGAAAAUGCUGAAGACAAGCAAUGUCAUACUCAUGAUCAAUCAUUUAACACACUAGAGAGGAUCAGAGGAGGUGUAGCAAUCAAAAUCUAUGACGUUCGAUUAGAGUAAAAUGGAAUCCAAGUUGUCUAAUCUGACAAUGGAGCCACAACAAUUGCAGCCACAGAUGCGAUAGGAUUUUAUAUCCUUUAUCCACGUCAAAGAAGGGAAGCCAUGACUGAAGAGGAACAACAAUGCUGUUGCAAGGGAAAAGACAAGCUAUGGUUACAUAGGCAAAGCAACAACAAUGCCAAAUUGUGCAAGACAUUAGAAAUUGAUGGCAGAAAAGUUUAGGGUAGUUUGGUUGUUGCAAGGAGGGCAAUAAGCCUGUAUUAAGACGUUUUUGCCUGAAAACAAUAAUAAAAAAAAUAAAAUUGUAUCAUAUCAUUAUCGUGCUUUUGUAAUCAUAAAUGUCAAAGCAUAAGUACUUCCGUUUUCCGGCUUUUUUGUGCAGAAUUUUAUGAUUGGCGCAUCGCGCAUGCGUGUUAUACUAGUAUAUUUAAUUGAAUCGUCUCAAUAAUAUAUUUAAUUGAACUU